CCCCAGGAGCCUGCGUGAGGUGAGAGACUGCCGCUCGGAGACAGAUGUGCAGUUACAACACCGCCUAUCAGACCAAACACAGCAGCGCUCUGGAGGUAGGACGAGCGGCUGAGGACGUCAUGGGAGCGGACGAAGCACAGGCCAUGGAAGGGCAAGCAGCGAGGUGAAGCAGGGAUCGCUGCUGAGAAGCAAUGAGAAAAACCGGCAGACCCUCAGGUGGGAGUGCACGAGCAUCUGACAAGCCUUAGGAGUGAGUUGCUGUUUGGGAGCUGGACUUUUGAUGAACCGUUGUUGGGCUCUACGGCUUCUCCUAAGACAACAGCAUCAACAGUAAAUUGUCACUUCGGGGCCAACAUUUAGUGCUGACUCAGAGAAACUGCAGGAUUGCUGCAGCAGAUAUUAAUAUGAUGUAAACACUCCCAUGGAGCACAGAAAGCCAUCCAAAAUAACACAGUUGUUACCAGUACUUGGAAAGACUCCGAGGGACGCAUUCCCCAAAGAAAUUAAGAGUCAGUUCUUGUUCACCAGCGGGUUAUAUGUAAAUUGGAUAGGAGGGCAUUUAACUGGAGAUCUUGGAGCCUAAGUCUGCCCCAAAGAACUUAUUGUUUAGAGUGUAACUAUAAGCUGGGAGAAGUGUGAUUUUUUACAGUUUGCCAAGGGAAGCAAACACUCCAGAUCUUGCGCCGGGGCCAGGAUGGGAUGUUAUUACUUGGUGUCAUUCUCAAAGGCAGGAUUUUUAUCUGUUCCCUUCCCUGAGUUCAGUUUUCUCUUUCCAUUUUACAUUCUCUGUAAUUUUACAAAGCAGUAUGCUUGGCAUUUGUUGUUAGAUGUUAGAUACUUGGAAGUGUCACAGCAGUUCACUGCCUUGUUGUAUUUCAUUUGAAUGCUUCGUGGUUGCAAUCUCAUUGUAGAUGUGUCACAUGAACUGACUGCUCAAGUUUCCAGAAAAAACUUUGCAUUUGCUUUCCAGAUAAGAGAAAAGAAGAAAACUUCCUAUUUUUUUUCUCCUCAAUUUCUUCUGAACUAAGACUUCAUCUGUUAGUUACCGUGCAGACCCUGGGCUAGAUCUGUGUGAGCAAAGCAUUGAAUGUCCAAGGGAACUCUGAACAGAGUGCUGGUGUUCACCCAAGCAGGGCAGGAAGGGAAGCUGAAGCUGUUACUCAUGGAGCAUGCAGUCAUUUACACGUGGAGCAUCUGAGACGGAAGGGAAUUCCAGCAGCUCAGGAUAGGUGAAGCCAGUACAAGCCCUUUCCAAGCUAUCCCUCCUAGGCCAAUGGGGAACACCAGGGAUGUUCAGGGGACAAAGAAAAGUGCUCAGAAGUUUCCCACACAGGCGACUGCAUGGUGUCAGCUCUCCUCUGAAGGUUAGCUUUCUCUUCAGUCUUGCCCUCUGCUUAAAAAAAGCAAACAACUUAUUGCGGCUUGGAAGGGUAUCUGCACGCCUGAAUGAUGUGUAAUCAAAACAGAGUCUACAGACGUCCAAAGCCAGUUCAGCGUAGUGUGAUUUCCCUUGCUCAUUCAAGUGAGAUCACGGUUUAUAUGUCCAGUUACGGUAAUUUAAAUCAUAAGGUUAUUGGGAAUUUCAUUCCUGAUGGAAGCAGGAAGAGGUAAGGGCGCAGCCUUCCCAUGUCACUGGGAUCGGUUUCUUGUUGUGCUGCCCUACUGCUGGUGUUAAGAAGUGGAUGUAAUUUAGUGUUUGCCUAAAUAGAAGAAGUUAAUACGUAAAUAAAACAAGUUGUAAGAGAAAGAUUA